rnacentral:rRNA from 1 species
UGGGGAAUAUUGGACAAUGGGCGAAAGCCUGAUCCAGCAAUGCCGCGUGAGUGAUGAAGGCCUAUUAGGUUGUAAAGCUCUUUGAGCAGGGAAGAUAAUGACGGUACCUGCAGAACAAGCCCCGGCUAACUACGUGCCAGCAGCCGCGGUAAUACGUAGGGGGCUAGCGUUGUUCGGAAUUACUGGGCGUAAAGAGCGCGUAGGUGGUCAUACAAGUUAGGAGUGAAAUCCCGGAGCUUAACUUCGGAACUGCUCUUAAAACUGUAUGGCUUGAGUGUGGUAGGGGGUAAUAGAAUUCCUAGUGUAGAGGUGAAAUUCUUAGAUAUUAGGAGGAAUACCGAUGGCGAAGGCGAUUACCUGGGCCACUACUGACACUGAGGCGCGAAAGCGUGGGGAGCAA